ACGGAAGGCAGCAGUGAGGAAUAUUGGUCAAUGGACGGAAGUCUGAACCGGCCAAGUCGCGUGAAGGAUGAAGGUAUUAUGUAUUGUAAACUUCUUUAGCAGUGGAGUAAUAAGGGGAUCGCGAUCCCUGAUGCAAGUACACUGAGAAUAAGGAUCGGCUAACUCCGUGCCAGCAGCCGCGGUAAUACGGAGGAUCCGAGCGUUAUCCGGAUUUAUUGGGUUUAAAGGGUGCGCAGGCGGCUUUUUGAGUCAGUGGUUAAAUCGUGACGCUCAACGUCAUCACGCCAUUGAUACUGGAGAGCUUGAUUGCGGUCGAGGUUUGCGGAAUUCGUUGUGUAGCGGUGAAAUGCAUAGAUAUGACGAAGAACACCGAUUGCGUAGGCAGCAGACCAGGCCGUAAAUGACGCUCAUGCACGAAAGUGCGGGGAUCGAACAGGAUUAGAUACCCUGGUA
rnacentral:rRNA from 1 species